rnacentral:rRNA from 1 species
AGUGAACGCUGGCGGUAGGCCUAACACAUGCAAGUCGAACGGCAGCACAGUAAGAGCUUGCUCUUACGGGUGGCGAGUGGCGGACGGGUGAGGAAUACAUCGGAAUCUACUUUUUCGUGGGGGAUAACGUAGGGAAACUUACGCUAAUACCGCAUACGACCUACGGGUGAAAGCAGGGGAUCUUCGGACCUUGCGCGAUUGAAUGAGCCGAUGUCGGAUUAGCUAGUUGGCGGGGUGAAGGCCCACCAAGGCGACGAUCCGUAGCUGGUCUGAGAGGAUGAUCAGCCACACUGGAACUGAGACACGGUCCAGACUCCUACGGGAGGCAGCAGUGGGGAAUAUUGGACAAUGGGCGCAAGCCCGAUCCAGCCAUACCGCGUGGGUGAAGAAGGCCUUCGGGUUGUAAAGCCCUUUUGUUGGGAAAGAAAAGCAGCAGGUUAAUACCCCGCUGUUCUGACGGUACCCAAAGAAUAAGCACCGGCUAACUUCGUG